rnacentral:rRNA from 1 species
UAUGACAGCCAUAUCACCCUGCAGCCCAAGACUGGUUGCCCACUGAAGCUAAGCAGGGUUGAGCUGGUCAGUACCUGGAUGGGAGACCUCCUGGGAAAACUAGGUUGCUGUUGGAA